UUUGUUGUUAUUUUGAUAUGGUUCUGAUUUGUUUUAACAGGACGAUUAUGCUGCUGAUGAUGAUGAGUACGAGGAGAAGUUGAAGAAAGAGGAUAUGGCUUUCUUCUUCUUAGCCACAUAUGGAGACGGUGAGCCAACAGACAAUGCGGCGAGAUUCUAUAAAUGGUUCACCGAGGUGAGUCUUUUGUUGCUUGGGGUCAGUUAGUUGUUGUAACGUGUGUCUUAUGUUUACUUGUGUCUCAAGUUUUGUACAUGUGUCAUGUGAGUUACAGGGGAAUGACAGAGGAGACUGGCUCAAGAACUUGAAGUAUGGUGUUUUUGAAUUAGGAAACAGACAAUAUGUGUUGCAGGUUGCCAAAGUUGUAGAUGACAUUCUUGUUGAACAAGGUUUGUUUUGUUUCUUUGUUUUGAUCAUUCGUUUUGAUGUGUUUGUAUUAUUGUUUUCUAACAUGAUGACUUGGUUUGUUUCAGGUGCACAGCAUCUUGUACAAGUUGGUCUUGGAGAUGAUGACCAGUGUAUUGAAGAUGACUGCACUGCAUGGUACUUACUUUGUCUAUUUACAUUUCUACUUUGGACAUUUGUUUUUAUUUUUAUUUUCUAAGCUCAGUUUGCUAUCUCUUGCAGGCGAGAAGCAUUGUGGCCUGAGUUGGAUACAUUACUAAGGAAAGAAGGCGAUACAGCUGUUACACCAUACACUGCUGCUGUGCUAGAAUACAGAUUUUCUAUUCACAGCUCUGAAGAUGCGUUAGGAAGUGUUCUGGAACGGCCUGCAGUGUCAAGCAUGAUCGGAUACACUACAUUGACGUAUGUCCCGCGGGACAGCCUGCAAAGGAGUGUGCAUUUGGCGGUACGGGUUUGGGAUGACCUUUUGGAGACCGCAGCCCGCGCGGACCUGACCCGCAGUGACCGGCAAAGUGAUGAGCCCGCUGCGGUACGGGAUGGAACGGGACGGAUCAACCCGUUUGACAUCUCUACCUGUUUUAGUUUAGUGAUUGUAAUUGUAAGCUGAUGACAUGUUAAUUAAGCUGACAUGGCAAAUUCUGAUAGGUUUAAAUUAAUCAGUCUACGUGAACAAUUUCUCUACUCACUUUAUUCUCCUUUUAGUAUAGUAUAAAUGCCGGUACAAUGGUAUGGCUGACAGAAGUUGACUGGUCUAGUCUUCGCUACCCAAAAAAAUUUCCACAUGUUUCUUUCCAUAGUUUUCUCCCAUGAUAUUAAAAUUCAUUAAUAACUCCUCGUUAUGGAAAUUUAUGCAGAUUUUUUUGAACCAACUCAAAAAUUAUUACGUGGAGUAAAAAAGGUUCAUGAUGUUUGCUGUGUAACCAGGGGCGGACCCAAGUACAGUAUGGGUGUGGCACGUGCCACAUACUGAUAUUAUAUAAUCCUUGUGUAAGAAAUAUAUAGACACAAGUAUGUAGCUUAAUUGGCUUUAAAGGCUUAUAUGUGCUCCACCCACUCAUUGUUCGAAACAUGAGCUACGGGUUUUGUUCUUUCAUUUUAUCUUGCGCACUCUUGAUUCACCUUUUCGUAAAUGACAACUUCUCUCUUAUUUCCUUGUUUU